AAAACCCAUCAUUUGACGUUUCAUGGACGUAUAAUAUAACUAAAAAUCAACUAGAUUUCCAUAUUUCUUUCUCCACUUAAACGUCAUCAUCGUCGUCAUAUCAGUAAUGAUUCAGCAAAAGAAUCCAACUGUACUUGAUCUUCAUUCGUCUUCAACAGCUGCAGGUACUCUUCAUAUAUCUUCUCUAGUGAAUCAUUACUGUCACCUUCAGCACCUAGUACAUGAUCAUGGUCAUGAUCACGAUGAGACUGGCACUCGAAAUCUGAGCUGUUGAUAAGAUCAUGAUCGUCAUUAUAACAUAAAAACCCAGUUCGGUUUUCAUCAUCAUUGAUGUAUUCGGACCAUGGGACGAGGACUUGUCCAUUUUCACCUCCUUGGCUCGAAGACUUAGUGAUACACACUGAAGAUGUAAAUCUAAUGGGUUUUGGGAGAUGGAUUUUGGGUUUUUCUUGCUCGGUUGGUUUUGUAGAUUUGUUCUUCCUUUUCUUCUUCGGGACAAGGACGACAACCGGGUUAUCCGGUGGUAGUUUUUUGUGGGUGUUCGGAUCGGUUCCUUGGCUUAAUAAACGUUUGCUUAGAUGGGUGUUCCAAUAGUUUUUAAUCUCGUUAUCGGUUCGACCCGGAAGCCUUCCGGCGAUGAGAGACCAACGGUUGCCGAGGAGUGAAUGUAAUCGGAUGAUGAGGUCUUCCUCGUCGGGUGUUAUGUUCCCUCUUUUGAUAUCCGGUCUCAAAUAGUUCAUCCAUCUCAG
rnacentral:lncRNA from 1 species